rnacentral:rRNA from 1 species
GACGAACCGAGCGAACGUUAUUCGGAAUCACUGGGCUUAAAGGGCGCGUAGGCGGGCCGUCAAGUCAGGGGUGAAAGCCCCCAGCUCAACUGGGGAAGUGCCUCUGAUACUGGCGGCCUCGAGGAGGUAGGGGCGUGCGGAACUUCCGGUGGAGCGGUGAAAAUGCGUAGAUAUCGGAAGGAACACCGGUGGCGAAAAGCGGCGCGCUGGACC